GUAGUGGUCCUUCUGCCAUUCUCUCAAGAGGUUCUUCAAGGCGCCCUGGGAGAUCACCGGGCCCUGCGCCGACCCCGAGCACCGGAUUGCCCUCCCCAAAGCCACCGAGUACCGCCGGUUCUCCCCGGCCACCGCUCCGGCCAAGGCCUGCGUCCCCACCGCCGACCCCGGAACAGUCUUCGACAUUAAGUACAACAUCCGCGACCGCCGCCGCGACCGGUCCCUCGUCCGCCGGACAGUGCUGAAGAAGGCCGACGUAGAGAAGAUGAUGACCAAGAUGACCUUUGGCGCUGCCGACUUCCCGCCGGUGUACGUCACUGAGCGGGUCCAGGAGGACGACAAUGCUAGGGGAGGCGGGUACCAGAAAUAGGUCAAAGCUGUCAGAUUCUAUGCAGGUAAACAGGUGUUUUGUGCUCAUGGGUUUAUCAGAAGAAGUGCUUUCUCUUCCUGAUAUUUUCUAUCUGCCUUUAGUAAUGUGCCUAAGACCCUUUCAUUUUAUUUGCUUUUCAAAGCAGCUGGUGGAUGGUGGAAAAAUAAAUAAUGUCGCUCUUGUAAACAUCUCCAAUUGUUGUAAAGAUUCCAUUAUUUUAUAGCAUGCUCUAAAACUUCAUUAAAAUUU